rnacentral:rRNA from 1 species
AUACGGAGGGUGCAAGCGUUGUUCGGAAUUACUGGGCGUAAAGCGCGCGUAGGUGGUCUGUUAUGUCAGAUGUGAAAGUCCACGGCUCAACCGUGGAAGUGCAUUUGAAACUGGCAGACUUGAGUACUAGAGGGGGUAGUGGAAUUCCCGGUGUAGAGGUGAAAUUCGUAGAUAUCGGGAGGAAUACCGGUGGCGAAGGCGACUACCUGGCCAGAUACUGACACUGAGGUGCGAAAGCGUGGGGAGCGAACAGUAUUAGAAACCCUAGUAGUCC